rnacentral:rRNA from 1 species
UGAACGCUGGCGGUAUGCCUAACACAUGCAAGUCGAACGAGGUAGCAAUACCUAGUGGCGGACGGGUGAGGAAUACGUAGGGAUCUGCCUUUAAGUGGGGGAUAACCCGGGGAAACCCGGAUUAAUACCGCAUGAUCUCGCAAGAGCAAAGUGGGGGAUCGCAAGACCUCACGCUUUUAGAGGAACCUACGUCGGAUUAGCUUGUUGGUGAGGUAAUGGCUCACCAAGGCGACGACGGGUAGCCGGCCUGAGAGGGUGACCGGCCACAUUGGGACUGAGAUACGGCCCAGACUCCUACGGGAGGCAGCAGUGAGGAAUCUUGGACAAUGGGGGAAACCCUGAUCCAGCCAUGCCGCGUGAGUGAUGAAGGCCCUAGGGUUGUAAAGCUCUUUCAGCGAGGAGGAUAAUGACGUUACUCGCAGAAGAAGCCCCGGCUAACUUCGUGCCAGCAGCCGCGGUAAUACGAAGGGGGCUAGCGUUGUUCGGAAUCACUGGGCGUAAAGCGCACGUAGGCGGACUUUUAAGUCAGGGGUGAAAUCCCGGGGCUCAACCCCGGAACUGCC